CAUUUUGAUUGUCUACACAAGCGGACGGUGUCUCAGUCGGCGAUCUUUCCAGUUAAUAACGUGACAAGUGCACAAAAUGUUGACAUACAAGGAUAACAAGGCCCUGUGCAUAGGGAUCAACAUAUUUGUGGGGGCCUUUGUCAUUGCUGUCAUUGUGAUUACUCACGUAUAUCUAUGAUCGCCACCUUUAUAUAUACAUACAUAUAUACAUAUACAUCUUUAUGGAAACUUACUUAUCAUGUGGAGCGAUCUUUUACCUGUAAAAAUGCAGCAUUAAUCACCUCAAUGUAAUCGGAUCACAAUAAUAAAAUAUUUAAUUGACUCAA